CAGCAGCCACGGGAAUACGAAGGGGGCUAGCGUUGCUCGGAAUGACUGGGCGUAAAGGGCGCGUAGGCGGCAUAUACAGUCAGGCGUGAAAUUCCCGGGCUUAACCUGGGGGCUGCGUUUGAUACGUAUGGGCUAGAGUGAGGAAGAGGGUCGUGGAAUUCCCAGUGUAGAGGUGAAAUUCGUAGAUAUUGGGAAGAACACCGGUGGCGAAGGCGGCGACCUGGUCCUUUACUGACGCUGAGGCGCGAAAGCGUGGGGAGCAAACAGGAUUAGAUACCCCCGUAGUCCCUGUCUCUUAUAC
rnacentral:rRNA from 1 species